CAGUUAUCUAUUUUUAUCAACCAAAUGUAGCCAGUUGUGAAUUCUUUGAUAUCAAAUUCAAUUCUCCAUGCAGAAACGACCAUUUUUUUCUGUGUCUUGUAUAUUCUUAAAACAUUUUCUCGCACAAUAUCUGGACAUCGGUGGGCAUGCAACAUUGCAAAACCACACGUUUACAAAUGAAAAUCAACACUCAGACUAUUGUCAUAAAGUACGACAAUAAAUAAGCAAAAAACAAACCCGGGACACAGAAGUUCAAACAAUAGACCAUCAACUCUGAAAACUAAAAGUAAAAAAGAAACAUGGAUCACGAAAAACAUGCAGGGACGAC
rnacentral:lncRNA from 1 species